UAAUCAUCGUGUUCAUUAGGCCACUGUGGGGCGUUUGAUUCUGGAAGCUUUAAAGACUUCAAAUGGUGUACCUCCAGGAAACCGUGUACGUGUAGUAUUCAGUCCGUGCAUUCUCAGGGAAGAACGGUGCUUUUUCGUCCCCCUCCCAAGCGAAUCUUCCCCAGCCUGUGGUUCACGCUGCACUGGCGAUCGUGUGCGUGAGUGCACGCAGCUGUUUGUCUCGAGCUCCGGGACCAGGCGAUGGGACGCAUGCGUCAGGCACCCGCGCUCCGCUCCGCUCCGGGCCGUGCGACUGAGCGAGCCUUUUGAUUGACAGGUGGAGGGCGAGGCGCGGGCACGGAGCGACGCUCGCUCCCCGCUGCGUCACCCUGCCCCCCCCACCCCGCCCCUCCCCCAAUCACCCCCCGCACCCCAGCAUUGCCCCGCCAGCAACAUGGCGGCGCUCAGCCCGGAGCCCGGAGCCGCAGCGGGGCUACGAGCCGGCGCCCAGCUCUCCGUCACUGUGGAACACGUCGUGAGCGGCACCUUAGUGGUGUCCACCAACUUCGGAGGCAGCAGCUUCACCGGGAUCCUGAUAGACAUGGCCAAAAAGUCUGGUUUGUAUGGUUUACUACCAAACCAGUUUCCUGUUGAAUCAUGCACCAGUGAACUCCUUGAUGGGAAAGAACAGCCAGUCUGUCAGACUGAGUCUCAGCUCUGCAACUUGCAGCAUCCCAAGAUGUCAAACAGAGAACAAGUUUCACCUCUUCAGCCAUUACCAAAAACUGUGCCUUGCUUUCCACCUUAUUGUGAAGGUGUACCUCUGCCACAACCUCUGGUAUUGAGACAAACUUACAAUCAGUGGGUUCCCCAGCCUCCACCUCGGACAAUCAAACGCACCAAAAGGCGCCUGUCAAGGAAUCGUGAUCCUGGUAAGCUUAUAAUGAGCACCAUUAGAUUGCGACCUAGGCAGGUACUGUGUGAAAAGUGCAAAAACACACUAAAUCGUGAGGAAGAGGAUGAUGAUGACAAAGAUAGACACAGCAAUAAGAAUGACAAAAAGACUAGCAUGGAAGAAAAUGAAAAGAGGAAAUCUGAGGUAAUGUGUUGCGAAAAUAGGAAAAUAAAAAAGGAAAAGAAAGAGGAUAAAUUUUCUAGUGAGAUGGUGCAUCGAAGCCCAGUAAUUAAAAUAUCAUACAGCACUCCUCAAGGGAAAGGAAAGGUGGUGAAAAUUCCAUCACGGGUACAUGGCUCAGUUGAGCCAUUUUGUCCUAAACGGUUAGUUCAAAAUGAAAGUGUGGACCAGGACAAGAACACACAUUGUGAUGAGAUGGAGGUUCUUCAAGAAAAGUCGUUUUCUAGUCCAUCUGGAACCAUUCCAAAGCUAAAACUAACUAGGCCUUUGCAUUCCAUGGCAGACAUCCCACCACCUAGAAUUCGAUUAAAACCUCAUCGGCUCAGUAACGGGGACAAUGUUGCAAUUUAUAAGGCUGAGCUUGUAGAUAAUAUAAAUAGUGAAGUGCAACCUGCACGGAGAUCAGAUAGUGGUGCACUUCAUUCUGAAGAAUCCACAGGAAAGAGUUCGGUGGAGACAUCAGGGAGUUCUGGAGAGGAGGACCAAUGGAGGUAUAAAAGGAGUCGUCGAAGCAAGGAUCAAGAUGAUCUGACUGUAUAUUUAAGUUAUAGGAAAAAAAGAGCAGAUUCAUCAAGUUUAUCAGUCUGUAGUAAUGAUAGUCUAGAUGAAUCGAAGUCUUCUAGUUCAGAAAUAACUUCACCAGAAAUAUGUGAUUUUGCACCUGGAGAUGAUGCAUCUGUGUCAUCUUCUUCCAAAGAAGAAAAGACUGUGCCACCCUUAACUGUGAGACUUCAUACCAAAACUGUCACAAAAUGUGUAACAACCGAAGGCAGGACUAUAUCCGUUGGCGAUAUUGUAUGGGGGAAGAUUCAUGGCUUCCCUUGGUGGCCUGCACGCAUUCUUGGCAUUAGUGUUAACAAGAAGGAAAAUGGGACUCCGGUGUGGCAGGAAGCCAGGGUGUCUUGGUUUGGAUCACCUACAACAUCGCUGCUUUCUGUGUCAAAAGUCUCGCCAUUUUUGGAGUAUUUUAAGUUGAGGUUUAACAGGAAGAAGAAAGGAGUGUACCGCAGGGCGAUUACAGAAGCUGCAAAAGCAGCUGAUCACCUGACACCUGAAAUCCGAUCUCUCCUUUCGCAAUAUGAAACUUAACUGAGCCAAAGCAGAUAGCCGAAGAUCAGGAGAAAAAAAAGUCAAUAUCCUCUCUGAUUUAAAUGGCUUUGAUCUUCAGCCAGUACUCCAUUGGAGAAUUUUGUUUGGUAUUUACGAGGCUAUCGGAUCCUGGUGAAUUCUUGUCAACAGUUAUCUUGAAGGAGCCGAAGGACUGGGCUAUAUCUGUGACGGGCAAGAGUGGAGCAGAGGGAAGUCUGACAUUUCAUUUUGGACUGUUAUUGAUUGUGAUGGAGCCCAUAUUCUCAUGGGUGGACAGUGAAUAGUAUAAGUUGGAAUGUAGCUAUUUAAGUCACUACUCUUUGUCUAAGACUUGUCUCAAUCAAAAUAAAAUUACUGCAAAAAUUUCUAAGGGUGAGUAAUGGAUAAAGACUAGUCUCUUUAUUUUGAUUCCUUUUUUUUAAUUAUGUAAUGCAGUAGUUUUAAUACAGCAAGUAUAAAAUGUCGAAAUACUGCAAUUGCCCAAUGGCCUUGCAAACAAUUGCAAGGCAUAAUAGGCAUUAUUUGUAACUUCAUUAGCAUUUAGCAGCAUAUGAUUAUCUCUGCACUAGAUGCAAAGCUUGCUGAAGGCCUGUGUUGCCUCUUCCUCCAGUAACAUUGGAUAUGUUCCAAAUGCACAAGUAAUGCUGAAGUAGUAAUGGUUUGAAAAUAGUUCCGUACUGUAAUCUGAAGAUGAAAUUGUAACAUGAUGAGUUUACAGUGGAGAAGAGUUAAUUAAUAAAAAGAUCAAGUUUCCAGGGGGAGUCCUUAUUGAAAGGCAUUUAAUGUUGACUCUUUGACAUUGAGCAAUAUUGUAGAUGCCAUGAUUUGGUGUUUUCUAAUUACACCCUGUUUUCAUUGUAAAAUGAUGGCUAGCUGUAAUGUUUGUUUUGCACAACAAUGCUAAAAUAACUGCAUACUGUCAAUUUUUUUGAAGAUUUAAUGAAGAGGAAAGUAAAAUUUAAUGAGAAUCAUGUCAUGUCUGAAAAAUAAUACCUGACUGGUUAAAAGGGGUUAACAGAUUUAUUGAGUGCAUUGUUCUCAUGUUUAGAAUGAUUGGGGCCCAGAGUAAGUUACAUUUUGCAUAAUGGAGCUCGCUAAUUCUGACUGAGUCUAAUUUGUUUCAAAAAGAUUGUCCUGAUUUAACCGCUGAAAAAAGCACUACCUGAUGCUUACCAGUGUGUCCUUGCUCAGUUUUGUUCUUCAGAGAUGCCUUUUUGAGUAUUCCAUUAUGUGCCAGUUAGUUAUCAUGUCUUCAUGACUUUGAGCCAUACACAUCAGUAAGUCUGUCCUAUAUUCUGCCCAAAUAUUUGUUAUAGGUAAUGUUCUUAGUGUGCAGAUGGAUUUUAAGUCUAUGAUAGGAGGGGUUAAAAAAAAAAUCACUUUUGUUCCUAGCUUUGUCCAUUUGAUCCUGCUAUAAUACAGUCUCUCUAGUUAUCAAAUUAGGCAAGUCUGAAAUGCAGUCCACAAUAUAAGGAAUGGACACUUAAGUAUUGAGGAUUGAUUAUCUGCAGAACAAAAUGAAAACAUGAGCAGGUGCCUUCAGAAGGGAAAUCUGGAGAAAUGGAACAGUUUAGAAGCAGUUAUUUUGUAUGGAAUGUACUUGCCAUAUGGGACUAGGGGAUCAGCAAACACUUUCUGCAGGAGUUGAGAAUGUUAUUUGAAGUGAAAUUUGAGGUGGUAUUCACUCCUGACUUCCUCUGGUCCAUUUUUCUUAAAAGUGCGCAAAUGACCGGUUUCAAAUAUAGGGUUUUGGGGUAAUUCAGUUGUCAAUCUCUUUAUACAUCUAGGAAGCCUGAAGACUUAUCUGAAGGAUUCCACCACAUUCCCAGUGCCCCUUUUUUUGUUGCAAAUUUCUGCAUGAGAUCAUUUUGCUUGCCUGGAUGCUGACAAUACCUGUAGAUGCAAUAUCACUUGCUCAGACUUUUCCGGGAAUCAACACUGAGAUCAGCAACAAUCAGCACUGAGACACAGCAGUGGAGGGCUGACUGAGUGAAGAGGUCCUGGUUCUGCUGCCGAGACAGAGAUCUCUGGAUAGAAACCUGUUCGAACAGUUCCACUGAACUGAUAAUGUUCAAGUUAACAUGGAGUAAGGAAUGUUGGGCACAUUUCUCAGUGCCUUAGAGCCUGUUGGGAAAUGCCUUUCCUGGUACAUUUGGCAAGAUUUAUUUUCUCCCUUGCCAUGUUAUCCAGUAUGCUGUCAAUACCAGUGCAGUACAGCAGUGUUAUCAUUUGUAUGAUAAUAAUCUACUCACAGAGUGACCAAGCUUUACUAACCCUGUUGCCCUGCAACAAUAUAAAGUGCUAAGACUAAAGUAUGUAUUGCCUGGCAUCACUGAAAUCUCUGACCACCUUAGAUCUUAAAUGCAAAUUACAUGCUUGUGAUGUUUUUCCAUCAGAGGUCAAGGUCAUACUUAGUCUCUGCUUCCUCAGCCAAAAAUCACUCCAGCCAGCCGUUGCUGAUCUUGGCACUAUCCUACAUUUUGUUGCUCUGUGUUGCAGUACGGAGGGCAGUUAAACUUCAAGCUCAAGAGACGUCUUUAUCUAUGUUUUGCUUAGAAGCAGGGAGAGCAGACCCAGACAUUCCAUAAAGAUUCAAUAUUGCUUAUUGUCAUUCUUCAAUGCACGAGUAUGAGAACAAAAUGGUUGUUAGUCCAAAUCCAAUGCAGCAUAAUAAAAACACAAUGAGCAUAAAAACGCAAUAAAUAUAAAUAUAGCAGCAACCCUAUAAAACACGGUGCACAAGUAAAGAGGCAGUGUGUGGGGGAAUGAAGGGUGCUGUGGAGAGGAGUGGCUGAUAUGGAUGCAGUGGUGGGGGGGGGGGUUAAUGGAUGGAGAUGUUGAUCAGCCUCAUGCCAUGGGGCUGUAAUUGUUUUUGAAUCCAGUACUCAUGGCCUUUCUGAUGAAAGUUCCUCAAUCAAAGACUGCACUCAUAUUCUUGCAGAGACCCCUGGCAGCUGCCUGCUGAAAAAUCUAUGCGGCCCCCAUGCACAAGGUACAUGCCUCCUGCGAGCAUCUGUCUGCACCAGUCCGUCCAGGAGCGUACUCAUGUCCUGUUUCCCAUCUGUGCAAUACUCCCUCCGUAGCAACAUCCUCAAGUAGUUGGAGCAGGUUUGUUGCACUGUGUAAUGUUACAUCCCAUGAAGAGUUGUUCAAACUGCUCUGAUGUAAGCUGAGAUGUACCAGAACCUUAAACAAUUCAGUAGAGAAUAAUGUGUUAAAGACCAACAGUGUUGGGGUGAACCAACAUCAAAAUAUUGUACCCGUGCUGUGCUAACUAGUGUGCGAUGAGCUUGAUCAAAUUCCAGAGGGUUUAGCAAAUAGUGGAGAAUGCAUUUCACCAAUUGUUGUGGGAUUCUUUUGCCUGAUGCACAUCUGGAAUUCAUCAUUGUGCUCCUUGGUCUUCUGCAGAGGAGCCCCGGCAACAGUAGUCACUCACCUCAAACAAAAGAAGGAAAACUAGUAGAGGGCAAACAUUUCUAUACUUCCCUCCAUGAACUCAUGACAUGCUGAAGGGCUUUACAGACAAUGGAGAAUUCUCAAAAUGUAGCAUUAGAGCCAGUUCACACACAGUAAGUUCUUGCUGUGAAUGAUGUAGUAAGAACCAGAUAUUCUUUUUGUGGUGAAGCUGGCGAACAGAUGUGUUAACUUGGAUCCAUGAGGACAUUAAAAAUAAAACAGGAGCAGGAUUAGGCCAUUGGGUCUCUCAAGCCUGCUUUGCCAUUCAAUGAAAUCAUGCCAGAUAUUCUAGCUCAACAUCAUGUUCUUGCUCUGUUCUCAUGUCCUUUGUUUCCCCAAAUACUAAACAAUUCAUCAAUCUCAGUUUCAAAUGCAGUCAGUGACUGAGAAAUCCAGUGAUCUACAACCCUCUGGGCAAAGGAAUUUCUCCUCAUUUCAGUUGCAAAUAUCUUCCCCUUAUGCUGAGUUAAUGACCAUUAUUUCUAGAUCCCUCAGCCAGAGAAAACCUUCCUCCCAUGUUUACCAUGUUGCUCCCUCUAACAAUUUUGCAGGACUAGCAAAGAUUAUGCUAAAAAAAAUUUAAUUUAUUAAGGAAGAAAUUUCCAAGGUUUUAUUCCAAUGAAACCAUAAUUGUGAUGAGGAGGCAUGACAAUGAGUCUUGGUGAAAUUUCAAUGUUUUAUACAACCUAUAUAUACUGAGCAGAUGGUGAUUAGGACAAGCUCAAUAGGACUAUUGAUCAGUGGAGUAUUAGAUUCUGAUGAUAGAUGGGUGAAGAUUAUAGUGAAUGAAAUGGUUUAUUAUAAAGGAAGUGACAAUCAGAUAACCAGUUUUUGAAGUAACAUAUUCACGAUAGAACAAAGUAAUCCCAUUCUGAAAGGUAGCAAUCAUCCUUUAUCUUAUUUAAUAUAUCAUAUUAAGUAUUCUUCCUGAUAAUGUCUUUUACACUUAGUUUGAUGCACGGAACGAUGUGCCAGCGAGGAAGGCUCCCUUUUCCCCCUGAGGAGCAGGCAUUUUGUCGUGCCAUAGCUAAAGCCCCUAGCCAUGGUCAACACACGUAACACUGCGGGGCCUAAUGACAUACCCGGUCAGGUGCCGAUGGACGAUGCAGCCCAGUUAACUGAAGUUCUAACAGACAUCUUCAACAUCCCUUUUUAACAGACCACUGUCCCAUCAUGCUUUAAGGUGGCCACAAUCAUCCUGGUGUCCAAGAGGCCAACAGUCUCCUACCUCAAUCACUACCGUCCAGUGGUACUGACCUCAACAUUAAUGAAGUACUUUGAGCAGCUAGUUAUGGAUCACAUUAAAUCCCAACUUCCUGCUACAUUGGACUCUUUUCAGUUUGCUUAUUGCUGAAAUCAGUCCACUGAGGAUGCCAUAGACUCUGCAGUCCACCCUGUCCUGUCCCUCCUGGAACAUGGUGCCUCAUAUGCCAUAAUGCUGUUUAUUGUCUUCUGCUCGGCGUAUAAUACAAUCACUGCUCAGAAGCUGGUGGGUAAACUGUCCUCAUUGGGUUUCAACACUUUUGUUUGUAACUGGAUCCUGGACUUCUCGACAGAAAGGCCACACACAGUCAGUCCAUCUAGGUGAAUCGUCUCUAGCUCCAUCACACCAAGCACUGGCACUCUCCAGGGCUGCAUGUUCGGCCCACUGCUGACAUAUGACUGCCUUGCGAGGCAUCAAGUUUGCUGAUGACACAAUGGUGGGUGCCUUCAUCAACAAUAACGACGAGAUGGCAUACAGAGAGGUGGUAGAGUAGCUGGUAGAUUAGUGCAUGCACGUCAACUUGAGUCUCAAUGUAGACAAGACCAAAGAGAUAACUGUGGACUUUAGGAAGGUGCAGGCUGACCAUUCCUCACUGCAUGUGCACGGCUCCUCCAUGGAGAGAGUUAGGAGCACCAAGUUGCUGGAAGUGCAAAUAAAGAAUGAUCUCAUUUGGUCCCUCAUCACCCUCUUUGGUCAAGAAAGCACAGCAUCUUCACUUCCUGAGGAGAUUGAGAUAAAUAAGGCUCCACUACUCCUACCCAGCCCAUCUUUACCAGUUUUUUACAGUAGCACCAUCAAGAGUGUCCUGACCAGCUACAUCACUGUCUGGUAUGGGAAUUGCAAGGCAUCUAAAUGCAAAUCCCUACAAAGGACUGCUGAGAAGAUCAGCAUUAUCUUCCACUCAUUAGAGAUGUUUAUCAGGAGCGCUGCAUACACAGAGUGCUUAGCAUUAUCAGUGAUCCCUCCCAUUUGUCCAACAAUCUCUUUGGACAAGAACUGUUAAGGUAAGAAACAACUUCUUCCCCCAAACUGCAAGACUACUGAACUCUCUGCCACCACCCAGGGCUCAUCACGUUUGAAGUGCCAGAAGCGUUAUACUGUUUACUUUUUAACUUGUAUGAAGAUGCACCUUAUUAUUUGUUAAUUUAUUUGUGGUAAUGUUACUUUAUGUAUUAUGUGUGUGAGUUACUGUACAUAUACUGUGUUGUGCACCUUAGUCUGGAGGAACGUUUUGUAUACAUGUGUACGGCUGAAUGACAAUAAACUGAACUUGAACUUAAUAAAUGCUCUGCAUUGGUGUUCAGUGCAAAUUGUAUGUGGGGAGCAGCAGCUAUUACAUAUUUACCGAAUUUUCAUUUACUGCUAAGGACAUAAUUUUACAACAGAAGUGAAAGGUAGGUUUAAGAGCAUUCUAAACUGUCCAUUAUUUAUUAAUCUUUAAUAAUGAUAUUUUUAUAGCAAAGUAGCACAUGCAAAAUAUACCUGCAGUAUAUGGUUUUUUGUAUAGAUUUUGAUUUAAGUUUUACUAUGUAUUUGCAUCAAUGUUUACAUAUCAAAAAUUUGCUGACUGUAAUGCCAAUUACCUGUUGUAUUAUUUUACUUGAAAUAAUACAGAUAUUUGCUCUUUGGAUGUUUAAGUGCAUGAUUUCUAUUGAGAAAAAUAUGAAUAAUUUUCAUUAAACAAGUAUGCAUAACAAAAUGAUGCAAAUGUGUUUUUUUGCAUAGAUGUUUGCUAAACUCUCUUGAACAUGAUAGUACAGUUGAUACACUCCCAUCCUUUGAAUAUCUGAGUGCUCCUGUCAUUUCAGUUUCUCUGUAUUUUUCAACCUUCCUUUGUCUAUGUUAG